rnacentral:misc_RNA from 1 species
GUAUUUCGAAUUAUGUAUUCAAAAAAUUUCAGACAAAAAAUUUCAAUAAAGGGUUGGUAUUAUACUGCCAAGAACGCGCAAAAACGCGAACUCGUCAGCAAACAUUGCACACAAGGUGAAUACUGAUUUUUAAAAAGUGCAGUAAAACACUUAUUAUGAAUGAUCCUUCCGCAGGUUCACCUACGGAAA